rnacentral:sRNA from 1 species
GUCAAAGUUUAAAUAGUUUCUAUUCAUAUUACUGAAAAAACUCUUUUAAAUGUUUAAAACUGCAAAAAAUAACACGUGCAUGAGCACAAGGAGGUUUUUUCAAUGAAUGAAGGAACUGUAAAAUGGUUUAACGCUGAAAAAGGUUUUGGUUUCAUCGAGCAGGAAGCUGGAGACGACGUAUUCGUACACUUCUCAGCAAUCCAGGGUGAAGGAUACAAAACUUUAGAAGAAGGUCAAAAAGUUACUUUCGAAAUCGAAGAAGGACAACGCGGACCACAAGCUGUCAACGUUGCAACUGUUUAAUAAAUAGUUAAAUUCUUAAGAGAUACCUCCGGGUAUCUCUUUUUU